rnacentral:rRNA from 1 species
AGAGUUUGAUCAUGGCUCAGAAUCAACGCUGGCGGCGCGCUUAACACAUGCAAGUCGAGCGAGAAAGUGGAGCAAUCCAUGAGUAAAGCGGCGUACGGGUGAGUAACACGUGGGGCAUCUACCUCUUAGUGGGGAAUAACUCUGGGAAACCGGAGCUAAUACCGCAUAAGCCUGGAAAGGGAAAGCAGCAAUGCGCUGAGAGAGGACCCCGCGGCCGAUUAGCUAGUUGGUGAGGUAAAGGCUCACCAAGGCAUAGAUCGGUAGCCGGCCUGAGAGGGCACACGGCCACACUGGCACUGAAACACGGGCCAGACUCCUACGGGAGGCAGCAGUGGGGAAUCUUGCACAAUGGGGGCAACCCUGAUGCAGCGACGCCGCGUGAGCGAUGAAGCCCUUCGGGGCGUAAAGCUCUUUCGGCCGGAACGAUAAUGACGGUACCGGAAGAAGAAGCUGCGGCUAACUACGUGCCAGCAGCCGCGGUAAUACGUAGGCAGCAAGCGUUGUUCGGAGUUACUGGGCGUAAAGAGUGCGUAGGCGGUUUCCUAAGUUUGGUGUGAAAUCUCCCGGCUUAACUGGGAGGGUGCGCCGAAGACUGGGGAGCUAGAGGAUGGGAAAGGCAAGCGGAAUUCCUGGUGUAGCGGUGAAAUGCGUAGAUAUCAGGAGGAACACCGGCGGUGUAGACGGCUUGCUAGACCACCCCUGACGCUGAGGCACGAAAGCGUGGGUAGCAAACAGGAUUAGAUACCCUAGUAGUCC